UACGGAGGGUGCAAGCGUUAUCCGGAUUCACUGGGUUUAAAGGGAGCGCAGGCGGAUUGGUAAGUCAGUGGUGAAAGGCUUGAGCUUAACUCGGGAACUGCCAUUGAUACUAUCAGUCUUGAAUAUUGUUGAGGUUUGCGGAAUGGGUCAUGUAGCGGUGAAAUGCAUAGAGUAUGACCCGGAACACCUAUUGCGAAGGCAGCAGGCUAAACAAAGAUUGACGCUGAGGCUCGAAAGCGUGGGGAUCAAACAGG
rnacentral:rRNA from 1 species